AGAGUUUGAUCCUGGCUCAGGAUGAACGCUGGCGGCGUGCCUAACACAUGCAAGUCGAACGGUUCGCAAGAACAGUGGCGCACGGGUGAGUAACACGUAGCUAACCUGCCCCGCAGCGGGGGAUAACGGAUCGAAAGGUCUGCUAAGACCCCAUAAGCUCCCACUCUGUAGAGGGGUGCGAGAAAAGGAGCAAUCUGCUGCGGGAGGGGGCUGCGACCCAUCAGGUAGAUGGUGCGGUAAGAGCGCACCAUGCCGACGACGGGUAGGGGACCUGAGAGGGUGACCCCCCACACUGGGACUGAGACACGGCCCAGACUCCUACGGGAGGCAGCAGUGAGGGAUCUUGCACAAUGGGCGCAAGCCUGAUGCAGCGACGCCGCGUGGGUGAUGACGGUCUUCGGAUUGUAAAACCCUUUUCUGCGUGACGAGCAAGGACGGUAGCGCAGGAAGAAGUGUCGGCUAACUACGUGCCAGCAGCCGCGGUAAAACGUAGGACACGAGCGUUAUCCGGAGUUACUGGGCGUAAAGGGCGGGCAGGCGGUGGCGGAAGUCUGGUGUGAAAGCGCCUGGCUCAACCGGGCGAGGACACUGGAGACUCCGUCACUUGAGGCAGAUAGAGGGGUGUAGAAUUCCGGGUGUAGUGGUGAAAUGCGUAGAGAUCCGGAGGAAUACCAGAAGCGAAGGCGGCACCCUGGGUCUGACCUGACGCUGAUCCGCGACAGCAUGGGGAGCGAACGGGAUUAGAAACCCCGGUAGUCCAUGCCGUAAACGAUGUACACUGGAUGUGCAGCCGCGCAAGCGGGGGCGUGUCCCAGCUAACGCGCUAAGUGUACCGCCUGGGGAGUACGGUCGCAAGGCUAAAACUCAAAGGAAUUGACGGGGGCCCGCACAAGCAGCGGAGCGUGUGGUUUAAUUCGAGGCUACACGAAGAACCUUACCUGGGUUAGACAUGCAAGUGGUAGGGAGGCGAAAGUCAACCGACCUUCGGGAGCUUGCACAGGUGCUGCAUGGCUGUCGUCAGCUCGUGUCGUGAGAUGUUCGGUUAAGUCCGAAAACGAGCGCAACCCCUGGGAUGCGUUACACGUGUCGCAUCCGACUGCCCGUGACAAACGGGAGGAAGGUGGGGAUGACGUCAAGUCAGCAUGGCCUUUAUGUCCAGGGCUACACACACGCUACAAUGGUCGGUACAAAGGGACGCGAAACCGCGAGGGGGAGCCAAUCCUCACAAGCCGAUCGUAGUUCGGAUUGCAGGCUGCAACCCGCCUGCAUGAAGCUGGAGUUGCUAGUAACCGCGCGUCAGCCAUAGUGCGGUGAAUACGUUCCCGGGCCUUGUACACACCGCCCGUCACGUCAUGGGAGCUGGUCACGCCUGAAGUCGGUGGGUGAACCGCAAGGACACCGCUGCCGAGGGCAGGGCCGGUGACUGGGACGAAGUCGUAACAAGGUA
rnacentral:rRNA from 1 species